AAAUAGUUUUUUUAUACGUUUAAAUACGCUUGAACAUAUGCCAUUAGUUAUAUGACACGUGAGAACAGCGAUGUUUUAUUUUGCUGAUAUCAAUGUUUGCACACAGUUUAAAAUGAAAAGAAAAUCACAAUAUUGCGCAAUUUUGUUAAGACGUCACUGAAGAUCGUUCAGCCGUUGGUUUGACGUAAAAAGAUUGCGGAUGUGGUAUGUGUUUUUCUUGUUUUCGUUAACGUUGUUUUGUUGAACGAUUCAUUUAUAAUUAUAUCUUUCUUCUUUCGAUGUACAACUGGUUUUCAAUGUCACGAUGCUGUUGUAAAUAACUUAGUUGAAAGUUUCAGAAAAUGUUUUUUUGAGUUUUUGGAAAGUUAACGUAACAAAACUAACACUAAUGUUUCUAUUUAUAUCUAUUUGUUAGACAUUUUUCGGCCCAAUGCCUUCAUCAGUAACAACAUAAAUAUUCAGGAAAUGACGUCAUGUUAUGUUGCCAAAACGACGUCGCCAAAUGACGUUACAUAUUUUGGCACAAGAUGAAUUAAUGACUAUUUUUUAGUUUAUCAAUAAUGCAUGUAUUAUGAUUUUUGUAUAACUAAACUGGUAAUGUAUAAAUUAAAGUGGAAAAUAACAGUUAAUGAAAAAAUAAAUAAUAAUAACAAGUAAAUACAGUGGAAUUUAUUCAAAGUAUUUAUAAAACACUUUGGCAUUUAAACCUUUUGGAUACAAUGUAUCAAGUUUGUGAAUCCAAUAUGUUUCUUUUAAAAGUCUGUGAAAAUCAUCAGAAACAAAAUCAAUUGGCAUGUAAGAAAAUCAUCUAACGAAUGAUUAUCAGAAUUAAAAUUAAGAGCAACAUUUUAUGAAAAACUAGGAUCAGUAAUGCUCCGUAUUGUAAAUCUAUGACUGUUUACGCUUACUCAGAGGCUGAGAAGCCUGUCCAACAUAUUGUAUAUUACAUUUUUACAAGAAAUUAAACAAAUAACUUUUUUUUUUUGUUAAGCAGUUCCCAUUUGAUCGCAGUUGAGGUAAGUUAACGCUAGCUCCGCGAGAAUGGCGUCCUGUGUUCUUGUUUUGAAUGCGGGCCAUCAAAACUGGAAAAACAGUAACCCAAGGAUACCUUAAAACCUAUUGCUGAAAAUAUCCUUUUUUGGAACGUGCUGUUGUAAAAUCUUUAUCAUCUGGCAGUCUGUUUCGAUAACAUAAAUGGUAAGUGAAUAACAUUUCAUAGUUUUAUUCCAUGGUUAAUAAUAAAGUGCCUGCCCGAUACACUAUACUUUUCAUAAAUAUAGUUUAGUUACCAUAGAUUUAGAGAAGAUACUGAGCAUUUUAAGAUACAUAAAUUUAAAAUUAAUUGUUUUUAAUUUCAGGGAAAAGAUCUAGCUGGGCAUUUGUAACCUUACUAAGGCAGAACAUAAAUAUAUUUGAAAAUACAAUGUGAUUUUUAUCAUAAGACUUGAACACUUUUGUGUUUAUAGUAAUAUAGGUGAAGCAACCUUUAAUACUAUUUGAAAGUUGACGGUGAUUGUAUGACAUUAAACAAGAUUGUAUUAUACAUAAUACAGGUCUAAAACUAUUCCUCAACUUAUAUUUUCUGAUAACUUUUGUUGUAUUCUGGCAUGAAGUUCUUUAAAAAAAGUCUCGAUCCUUCAUCAUGUGUUCACGAUUUUCAUGUAUGAAAUCUGACUUGACCAGCAAGUUGUGCACAGUGCAUUUCGUGGUUAUUCUUUAUUGCGAGAGAUUUUGUUUACACGCCGUGAUUUUUAUUUUUUAUUGCGAGGGAUCGGUAAUGGAUAUAAAAGAUCGAACUAACGGAUUUUCUUUAUAGAUUGGAAAGUUAACCAUAGUUUCAAAGGAAUCUGAGAAGUAUAGAAUUCAACUUGAAAGACAAGAAAGAAAGCAAGAUAUCUGGAUAUGGAUAUAUCAUUGACGUUUACAUGGAUUUUAAGAACGGUUUUCGUCAUUUUGUCGUUUGUUGCAGUAACGGACUGUCAACAUUUAUGUAAAAGUAUAGGUUGGGUUGGGUGUGCUGACACAGGAUGUUCGCGGGAAGAAAACGGGGUAUGUGAAAAUUUCGGAACGAGGCCCGACAAUUUAUGCCUUUGCGUUAUAAAACAAUGAUAUUUAUAAACACAUCAAGAUGUGCCAAACAGUUGUCGCAGAUAAUUUGCCGAUUCCACGAAAUCAUGAUUGAUGAAAAAUUUCGCAUGGAAGAUAUGUCGCAAUAAAGAGCUUAAUUGUGUGUUUUUUUUUUGUAAUGAUAGAAGGACGACACGACUGGUGCUAGCCAAACCAAUGUUUUAAGACAUUCAUAUUUGAAGGAAAAAUCGCGGAGGAGAUAUAAUUUAUACGGAUAAAAGUGCACAUUUCACGACGAAAAUAAAAGUCAGCGGACUUAGAUGACCUCUUCUAACAACAGCAUUACUAUGAAUGUUUGAUAUAAAGUUUCUGUGAUAUGCUAUUUAUAAUUUAUUCUGUGUGAUAUUAUAUCAUUUACCAAUCACUUUAUUUCACAUUGUUAAAGUUCGAUAUUGUGUUAUAUAUUUAACAAUGUACUUAUUAUGGAAAUUAUUUUCAAAUGUCACUCUUCAACAUUUAUUUAUUAUAUGAUUACAAAACGGGAAUAUACACUGAGGGUAACGUUGUGAUAAAUAAAUGGAAUAAAAGUGUA
rnacentral:lncRNA from 1 species